rnacentral:rRNA from 1 species
CAGCCGCCACGGUAAUACGGAGGGGGCUAGCGUUGUUCGGAAUUACUGGGCGUAAAGCGCACGUAGGCGGCUUGGUAAGUUAGAGGUGAAAGCCCAGGGCUCAACCCUGGAAUUGCCUUUAAGACUGCCGAGCUAGUAGGUGAGAGAGGUAAGUGGAAUUCCGAGUGUAGAGGUGAAAUUCGUAGAUAUUCGGAAGAACACCAGUGGCGAAGGCGGCUUACUGGCUCAUUCUAGACGCUGAGGUGCGAAAGCGUGGGGAGCAAACAGGAUUAGAUACCCGUGUAGUCCCUGUCUCUUAUAC